GUGGUCGCUUCAGCAGCACAUAUACUAAAACUGGAAUUAUACAGAAAAGAUUAGCAUCCUUGCCGCUGCACAAUGAUGGUACACAAAUUCAUGCAGCAUUCUAUAGCUGU